UUAAUACUCCCUCCGUCCAACAAAAGAGUCUCAAGUUUGUCAAAUUUGGAUGUAUUUAGACAUGACUUAGUGUAUAUGUGCAUUCAAAUUUAGUCGAAGUUGAAACAUCCUUUGUUGGACGGAGGAAUAUACA
rnacentral:pre_miRNA from 1 species